GGGGAGCCCGCUAACGUGUGUACCUUCGGGUUGCCGGCGAGCGGCGGACGGGUGAGUAAUGCCUAGGAAUCUGCCUGUUAGUGGGGGAUAACGCGGGGAAACUCGCGCUAAUACCGCAUACGUCCUACGGGAGAAAGUGGGGGACCUUCGGGCCUCACGCUAACAGAUGAGCCUAGGUCGGAUUAGCUAGUUGGUGGGGUAACGGCCCACCAAGGCGACGAUCCGUAACUGGUCUGAGAGGAUGAUCAGUCACACUGGAACUGAGACACGGUCCAGACUCCUACGGGAGGCAGCAGUGGGGAAUAUUGGACAAUGGGCGAAAGCCUGAUCCAGCCAUGCCGCGUGUGUGAAAGAAGGUCUUCGGAUUGUAAAAGCACUUUAAGCCGGGAGGAAGGGGCUGUAGGCGAAAUACCCCUGCAAAGUCUUGACGUUACCCGGGCAAGAAAUAAAAGCCACCCGGGCCUUAAA
rnacentral:rRNA from 1 species